rnacentral:tRNA from 1 species
AACAGAAGCUAAAACCUUCUUGCUGACCGAGGAGUGUGCUGCACACAAAGAACUGCUAAUUCCACAUCC